UGUGAUUGAUGAACAAGAUGGAAAGCCC
rnacentral:piRNA from 1 species